GACCUUCUUUCACUUUCUUUAAUGUGUUAUGCUCUCUCUGGAACUGUGACUACCGCUUUGCCCUGCUAACUCAUGCUUAUCUUUCAGUUUUCGGCUUAAAUUACUUCUUUCUGAAAGCCUUCCGUCACCCCCUCAAGUCGGUGAGGUGCCCCUGCGCCAGGCUCCUCAGGGCACCGUGCACUUUCCUUAUCAUAGCCUUUCCCAUACUUACCCACCGUCGCUGCCCAUUUACUGUCGCCGUCUGCACUAGACUUGAAACUCUGUGAGAGCAAGGGGGGAAGGCGACGGUGUGGCAGAGGCUUAAAGGAUGAGUGAAAGAUUAUACAAAGGAAAGGAAGACGUCAUGGAGAUCUGACUCUCUUUUGAAGAACACAGGAGAUUAAUAUUGAACAGCCAACCACUCAAGUCCUCUUUUAACAGCUCUUUGUGAAUGAUACCUGCAUAUUGUCCAGCUGGAUCAACAUGCCUUAGAUUAUUCUCUAGAGCCCGAUGACAAACAGUGGGACAUCCUCAAAAAGACUUGGAAUAAGGUCAUCCUGGAAACAAAAUCCACUCUCCAUAAAUGAAAAGAACCAUCCGUAACUAAGAGCCUGCAUGUAAAAGUGAGUCCAAGAGGUUUGGGAGUGCUCGGGAUUCUCACCAAGACACCAAGGUAAUCUAGAACGAUUCUCAAAGCUGCAGGCCUGGAAACUGACUAUAAUUAAUGAUUGGAAACCAUAUCAUUUGUAAUAAAUACAUCCUGUUUUGAGAACAUCUGUGUGAAUAGAAAGAGGAGAGUGGUCACCACGGAACCUUGAAAAGGGAAAGGCACCGGUGUCUCUCCAGGCACCGCCCAGGGAUGAGAAGUCGAAGCAAAGCAAUGUUAACAUCAUGAUGUUGACAAGACAUAGAAAGCAGCCUUUGCCGCAUGUUAGACUUGCCUCUGCCACUUUUAGCCUUUUUUUGUUGUUGUUUUGUUUUGUUAGGGCUGCACCCAUGGCAUAUGGAAGUUCCUGGGCUAGGGGUUGAAUUGGAGCUGCAGCUGCCGGCCUACACCACAGCCACAGCAAUGCAGGAUCCUUAACUCACUGAGUGAGGCCAGGGAUUGAACCUCAUCCUCAUGGAUGCUAGUCAGAUUCGUUUCCACUGAGCCACGAUGAGAACUCCCUCAGCCACUUUCAAAGUAAAAGUCCUAUUUGAACUUUGCUGUGACCAACUGAAUCAGAAUCUCAGAGAGCGGCCCAAGCACAAGCGCUUACGAAACCGCCACAGAUGAGUCUAAUGUGCAAUCAGGGAAGCCCCUGAUUCUAAGCUCCCAGGUAGUGUCUCUCUUGAGAUUGACUCACGCCCCUUGCUCUGAUUCCAGGCUACCCCUGAUACUUGGCUUCCCAUAAGAAAAUGCACUGAUCUUCUGCUGUGAGCGUUCUGGUCUGCUUUACAAAUUAAAUUAGCCUUACAAACAAUACUUUCUUUUUGCAAAUUAAUAAAUGGAAUUUUGGUUUAUGCAUC
rnacentral:lncRNA from 1 species